rnacentral:rRNA from 1 species
ACGGGGCGCAGCAGGCGCGGUAAUACGGAGGAUCCAAGCGUUAUCCGGAAUCAUUGGGUUUAAAGGGUCCGUAGGCGGGAUGAUAAGUCAGUGGUGAAAGUCUGCAGCUUAACUGUAGAAUUGCCAUUGAUACUGUUGUUCUUGAGUGCUUGUGAAGUGGUUAGAAUGAGUAGUGUAGCGGUGAAAUGCAUAGAUAUUACUCAGAAUACCGAUUGCGAAGGCAGAUCACUAACAAUACACUGACGCUGAUGGACGAAAGCGUAGGUAGCGAACAGGAUUAGAUACCCUGGUAGUCUACGCCGUAAACGAUGGUUACUAGCUGUUCGGACUAAUUGCGGUCUGAGUGGCUAAGCGAAAGUGAUAAGUAACCCACCUGGGGAGUACGUUCGCAAGAAUGAAACUCAAAGGAAUUGACGGGGGCCCGCACAAGCGGUGGAGCAUGUGGUUUAAUUCGAUGAUACGCGAGGAACCUUACCAGGGCUUAAAUGCAUUUUGACAGGGGUGGAAACACCUUUUCCUUCGGGCAAAUUGCAAGGUGCUGCAUGGUUGUCGUCAGCUCGUGCCGUGAGGUGUCAGGUUAAGUCCUAUAACGAGCGCAACCCCUUUGGUUAGUUACCAGCAUGUAAUGAUGGGGACUCUAGCCAUACUGCCAGUGUAAACUGAGAGGAAGGUGGGGAUGACGUCAAAUCAUCACGGCCCUUACGUCCUGGGCUACACACGUGCUACAAUGGUAGGGACAGAGAGCAGCCACUUCGUGAGAAGGAGCGAAUCUACAAACCCUAUCACAGUUCGGAUCGCAGUCUGCAACUCGACUGCGUGAAGCUGGAAUCGCUAGUAAUCGCAUAUCAGCCAUGAUGCGGUGAAUACGUUCCCGGGCCUUGUACACACCGCCCGUCAAGCCAUGGAAGCUGGGGGUACCUGAAGUCGGUCGCCGCAAGGAGCCGCCUAGGGUAAAACUAGUAACUGGGGCUAAGUCGUAACAAGGUAGCCGU